AGUGACAAUAAAUAACAAUAUAGGGCUCUUUUGGGUCUUAUAAUUGGAAUGAGUACAAUUUAAAUCCCUUAACGAGGAUCAAUUGGAGGGCAAGUCUGGUGCCAGCAGCCGCGGUAAUUCCAGCUCCAAUAGCGUAUAUUAAAGUUGUUGCCGUUAAAAAGCUCGUAGUCGAACUUCGGCCUUUGCCGCCCGGUCCGCCUAUUUGGGUGUGUACUGGAGCGGNGGAGGCUUACCUCGUGGUGAGCAAUCAUACCCUUUACUGGGCGUGGUUGGGAACCAUGAUUUUUACUUUGAAAAAAUUAGAGUGUUCAAAGCAGGCUUACGCCCGAAUACAUUAGCAUGGAAUAAUAAAAUAGGACGUGCGGUUCUAUUUUGUUGGUUUCUAGGAUCGCCGUAAUGAUUAAUAGGGAUAGUUGGGGGCAUUCGUAUUCAAUUGCUAGAGGUGAAAUUCUUGGAUUUAUUGAAGACGAACUACUGCGAAAGCAUUUGCCAAGGAUGUUUUCAUUGAUCAAGAACGAAGGUUAGGGGAUCGAAAACGAUCAGAUACCGUUGUAGUCUUAACAGUAAACGAUGCCGACUAGGGAUCGGACGAGGAUUUUUAAUGACUCGUUCGGCACCUGAAGAGAAAUCUUUAAGUCUAGGUUCGGGGGGGAGUAUGGUCGCAAGGCUGAAACUUAAAGGAAUUGACGGAAGGGCACCACCAGGUGUGGAGCCUGCGGCUUAAUUUGACUCAACACGGGGAAACUCACCAGGUCCAGACACGACAAGGAUUGACAGAUUGAUAGCUCUUUCUUGAUUUCGUGGUUGGUGGUGCAUGGCCGUUCUUAGUUGGUGGAGUGAUUUGUCUGGUUAAUUCCGAUAACGAACGAGACCUUAACCUGCUAAAUAGCCCGGCCGGCUUUGGCUGGUCGCCGGCUUCUAGAGGGAC
rnacentral:rRNA from 1 species